AUCCAGCUGACGAGUCCCAAAUAGGACGAAACGCUCCUCAAACUGGAU
rnacentral:hammerhead_ribozyme from 1 species